GUCAAAGAGAGCUUUGUGAGCCAGGACCCAGGGAGGAAAUGGUCUGGGCGGGACUUAGCCCUCAGGUCAACAAUGUCUGCUGGAAGGCUUGGCGGGGAGGUUAACUGGACCUUGCCUGACUCUAUACCUGGGAGAAGAGGGUGAAGCCCGGGUCCCACCUCUCAGAGGCUGUGGAGGCCACCUUGCACCCCAGCACCAUCUAGACUGGGAAGGAACCAUCAAGUUGCAGGCGCUACAUUCUGACUUCUUUGGACAGACGACCUCACCUGUGUGUCCUGGAACCUUGCCUCCCCUGAGCCCCGCCCCACUAGGGAAAGAUAGAAACAGGUUGGGCCCACCUGCCAACACCCAUGUCCAUCAGAGAAGCAAUUACAGAAGCCAGACCUUCUACCUUCCCAUAAGGAAUUUUGGUCCAUACUCCCAGAGGGAUAAAGACUCGGGAAGGUUCCAAUGGAGGGGAUGGGAUACAGAACUCUGGUGGUGGGAAUUGUGUGGAAUUGUACCCUUGUUAUUUUACAAUCUUGUUAAUCAUUAUUAAAUCACUAAUAAAAAUUUAAAAAACUUAAAAAAGAAA